GGCGUGCAAGAAAAUCAUGUGAUAGUUCAUUCUCCAAUGUCUGGAUUUUAAUGUUUAUUUUUUGCGAUUUUUACUAGAUUUCUGCAACAGCUUCUGUAAAAUAAAAACCGCGCUCUGGGACACGUGUCUUAGGUCACCACUGGAGGACGCAGUUGGACCGGAGCCAAUCCCUGGAAGGUAGAUUUGAGCAGGUGUGGCACAUCUGUUCAUUAUCACGUAAUCUGCUGGAGUAUAUGAGGAGCUGGCUGCCAGUCCUUCGACAGUUGACUGUUUAACCUUUAUGUGCAACCUGUCUGCUCACUGAUGCUCCCAUCUCUGCUUCCGCUCCAAGCUACACCAUUGGCAUCCAUCUCUAUCAUCUACAAACCACCGCACAGACCUCUCCCCCUGGGUUCCACUUAUUCCCCACUGGCAUUCAUCCCCUGCAUCAUCCAUGAGCAACGGGAAAGGGGCGGAGCUGGAACCGGAGGACAAACUGCAAGAAAGUGAAGGGUUGAUCCGCCAGGAGGGGUGAGAGCAACGGAGCUGCACACUGAGAUGAAUGGAGCAGG